ensembl:lncRNA
GUUGCUUCCCAUACAGCCAGUAGGCCUGAACAUGCCUCAAAUUCUCCCUGAAGCAACACAAAACACACAUGAUCAUGCCAGCAAGAGAAGGAAAGGCAAUUGUACCCCACUGCAGCUGCUCACUGCUCCUGCCACAUUCCACAGGGACACCCGGGGAGCCUCAUCCCAGAGGUGUGCAGCUGGAUUCAUCCCAGACCUCACACAUACUGAAUUUGCUGCAGAAGAUACUGAAUGAAAACACAGUGAUGUAAAUCUAGAUAUACCUGCAGACACAUUUAUUCAUGAUGUGUAUUAAGAGCUCAAAGCACGAAUGUGACACAGCUCAGUAACUUCCUUUCAACCAAUACUGAGGAAGAUAGUGACAGCUUAUUGUUUACCAUUCCAAAUAUGUCUGCAAGACUUGUUCACAUAUUAGAAGAGCCAGUUUGUCAAUGUGAGGUUUUUGCUAGCAUCUAACUCAGCAUCUGUUGGAUGUUCCCAGAAGCCUAACUAAAGUUGGAACAAGUUGAAAACUUGUGUACUUAACAACAGAAGAAACAAAAAAAAGUGUUGUGUCCUUUCAUUUCUGUUUUGUCCCCUCUUGUAAAUGUUAUAAUAUGCCAUCAACAAGAAACAGUGCCCGGGACGUUGGUAUAAAUGAGCAAAGGAAAGGAUUGGAAGAAGUGCCUAGAGGAAAUUUGGAGGGUGCAGAAGACACCUGAGCCCCAUCCCAACCAGUGCAACUUCUGGAGAAGAACUGAGGUACAGAGAAGCUAAAUGACUUCCCUGAGGCCAUACAGGAUGUCUCAAGCAAUGCAAAGAAUGAAAUUGUUUCAUAGCAAGAAGAUCACCGGAGUCCUGUGGUGGAUCCCCAAGCACGGGAGUGCUGAGAUGUACACGACAACCUUUACUGGCUAAAAAAUAAGAUCAGACAUCCUCUUGUCACAGCCCAAAGUACUCUAUAUAUCUGCUGUGUUUACAGAGAGCUUCCCUUGGUUUCAAUUUCUGGAGUUACACCUUUAAUCUCUGCAAUGCAAAACCUGUGGGAAUCUUAUUAAUAAUGGAUCUAAUGUAAUAUUUUCCAUUUCUAAAAUCCUUUUUCUGUUCAGAAGUGCACCC